rnacentral:rRNA from 1 species
AUUGAACGCUGGCGGCAGGCUUAACACAUGCAAGUCGAGCGAGCGGCGGACGGGUGAGUAAUGUAUGGGAAACUGCCUGAUGGUGGGGGAUAACUACUGGAAACGGUAGCUAAUACCGCAUACCAUCAGAUGCGCCCAUAUGGGCUUGGCUUGUAGGUGGGGUAAUGGCUCACAUAGGCGACGAUCCCUCGCUGGUCUGAGAGGAUGAUCAGCCACACGGGGACGGAGACGCGGACCCGACGACUGCGGGAGGCAGCAGUGGGGAAUAUUGCACAAUGGGCGCAAGCCUGAUGCAGCCAGGCCGCGUGUGUUAAGAAGGCCUUCGGGUUGUAAAGCACUUUCAGCGGGGAGGCGUUACCCGCAGAAGAAGCACCGGCUAACUCCGUGCCAGCAGCCGCGGUAAUAC